ACACCCUGCAUGCCACAAUAUGGCCAUAAUAGACCCAUCCACCCUGUACACAGCAUAGAACCAUAAUUGGCUCAUCCACCCUACACACCACAUAUUAUAGAGCUAAGCCACUAAAAUAAUGAUAUGCAGCUAAUCUAGCAUAUGUACAGUACAGUGCGGUAAUCCAUUGUACAAAUGUAUUGCAGUUAAAACUGCAAAAUCAAAUCAAUCUUCCUUCUCUCUAUAUCUAAACCCCAAAGUUUUCAUGCUAAUGCAGUAAUGCACACAGUACGC
rnacentral:lncRNA from 1 species